rnacentral:rRNA from 1 species
AGAAUCAACGCUGGCGGCGUGCCUCAGACAUGCAAGUCGAACGCGAAAGUUCCCUUCGGGGGGCGAGUAGAGUGGCGCACGGGUGAGUAACACGUAGGUAAUCUACCUUCGGAUGGGGGAAUAACAACCGGAAACGGUUGCUAAUACCGCAUAAUGCAGCGGCACCUAAUGGUGACAGUUGUUAAAGCGGGGGAUCGAAAGACCUCGCGUCUGAAGAGGAGCCUGCGGCGGAUUAGCUAGUUGGUAGGGUAACGGCCUACCAAGGCUACGAUCCGUAGCCGCUGAGAGGGCGGUCGGCCACACU